AAAAAAACUUAAAUUUCUUCCGCUUGUUACAUCGAUAGUUUCGAUUAGUGUGUUUUGAAAA
rnacentral:sRNA from 1 species